rnacentral:rRNA from 1 species
AACGAACGCUGGCGGCAUGCCUAACACAUGCAAGUCGAACGAGACCUUCGGUCUAGUGGCGCACGGGUGCGUAACGCGUGGGAAUCUGCCCUUGGGUUCGGAAUAACAGUUAGAAAUGACUGCUAAUACCGAAUGAUGUCUUCGGACCAAAGAUUUAUCGCCCAAGGAUGAGCCCGCGUCGGAUUAGCUAGUUGGUGAGGUAAAGGCUCACCAAGGCGACGAUCCGUAGCUGGUCUGAGAGGAUGAUCAGCCACACUGGGACUGAGACACGGCCCAGACUCCUACGGGAGGCAGCAGUGGGGAAUAUUGGACAAUGGGCGAAAGCCUGAUCCAGCAAUGCCGCGUGGGUGAUGAAGGCCUCGGUCGUAAGACCUCGUCGC